GGAUUCCCCGAGUAGCGGCGAGCGAAACGGGAAGAGCCCAGCGCUGAAUCCCGCGGUCCUCACGGACCGCCGGGACCUGUAGCGUUCGGGAGGGAGAUGUCAUUUAUCGCGCGGUCUUCGGCGUCCGGUCCAAGUUCAUCUUGAAUGGGGCCCCGCUUAUCCGUAGAGGGUGCCAGGCCCGUAGUGACGGGCGCCGGCCGCGACGGUCUCCUUCCCCAGAGUCGGGUUGCUUGAGAGUGCAGCCCUAAGCGGGUGGUAAACUCCAUCUAAGGCUAAAUACGACCACGAGACCGAUAGCGAACA
rnacentral:rRNA from 1 species